rnacentral:rRNA from 1 species
GACGAACGCUGGCGGCGUGCUUAACACAUGCAAGUCGAACGGAAAGGCCCUGCGUUUGUGGGGUGCUCGAGUGGCGAGCGGGUGAGUAACACGUGAGUAACCUGCCCUUGACUUUGGGAUAACUUCAGGGAACUGGGGCUAAUACCGGAUAGGAGCUCCUGCUGCGUGGUGGGGGUUGGAAAGUUUCGGCGGUUGGGGAUGGACUCGCGGCUUAUCAGCUUGUUGGUGAGGUAGUGGCUUACCAAGGGUUUGACGGGUAGCCGGCCUGAGAGGGUGACCGGCCACAUUGGGACUGAGAUACGGCCCAGACUCCUACGGGAGGCAGCAGUGGGGAAUAUUGCACAAUGGGCGGAAGCCUGAUGCAGCAACGCCGCGUGCGGGAUGACGGCCUACGGGUUGUAAACCGAUUUGGCCUGUGACGAAGCGUGAGUGACGGUAAUGGGUAAAGAAGCACCGGCUAACUACGUG